UACGUAGGGUGCGAGCGUUGUCCGGAAUUAUUGGGCGUAAAGAGCUCGUAGGCGGUGUGUCGCGUCGGCCGUGAAAACCUGGGGCUUAACUCUGGGCGUGCGGUCGAUACGGGCAUCACUAGAGUUCGGCAGGGGAGACUGGAAUUCCUGGUGUAGCGGUGAAAUGCGCAGAUAUCAGGAGGAACACCGGUGGCGAAGGCGGGUCUCUGGGCCGAUACUGACGCUGAGGAGCGAAAGCCAUGGGUAGCGAACAGG
rnacentral:rRNA from 1 species